rfam:Sulfitobacter sp. EhC04 A4_Contig9, whole genome shotgun sequence.
GCCCAUUCUCAGGGCGGGGCGGAAUUCCCCACCGGCGGUAGGGGAGAAUUCCCAAGCCCGCGAGCGCCGGUGCCUCCUUCGGGCGGCACCGGGUCAGCAGAUCUGGUCAAAGUCCAGAGCCGACGGUCACAGUCCGGAUGAAAGAGAAUGCGA